GACGAACGCUGGCGGCGUGCCUAAUACAUGCAAGUUGAGCGCUGAAGGUUGGUACUUGUACCAACUGGAUGAGCAGCGAACGGGUGAGUAACGCGUGGGGAAUCUGCCUUUGAGCGGGGGACAACAUUUGGAAACGAAUGCUAAUGCCGCAUAAAAACUUUAAACACAAGUUUUAAGUUUGAAAGAUGCAAUUGCAUCACUCAAAGAUGAUCCCGCGUUGUAUUAGCUAGUUGGUGAGGUAAAGGCUCACCAAGGCGAUGAUACAUAGCCGACCUGGGAGGGGGGUCGGCCACAUUGGGACUGAGACACGGCCCAAACUCCUACGGGAGGCAGCAGUAGGGAAUCUUCGGCAAUGGACGAAAGUCUGACCGAGCAACGCCGCGUGAGUGAAGAAGGUUUUCGGAUCGUAAAACUCUGUUGGUAGAGAAGAACGUUGGUGAGAGUGGAAAGCUCAUCAAGUGACGGUAACUACCCAGAAAGGGACGGCUAACUACGUG
rnacentral:rRNA from 1 species